GGAAUCUUAGACAAUGGGCGCAAGCCUGAUCUAGCCAUGCCGCGUGAACGAUGAAGGCCUUAGGGUUGUAAAGUUCUUUCACCGGGGAAGAUAAUGACGGUACCCGGAGAAGAAGCCCCGGCUAACUCCGUGCCAGCAGCCGCGGUAAUACGGAGGGGGCUAGCGUUGUUCGGAAUUACUGGGCGUAAAGCGCACGUAGGCGGACUAUUAAGUCAGGGGUGAAAUCCCGGGGCUCAACCCCGGAACUGCCUUUGAUACUGGUAGUCUUGAGUUCGAGAGAGGUGAGUGGAACUCCGAGUGUAGAGGUGAAAUUCGUAGAUAUUCGGAGGAACACCAGUGGCGAAGGCGGCUCACUGGCUCGAUACUGACGCUGAGGUGCGAAUGCGUGGGGAGCA
rnacentral:rRNA from 1 species